rnacentral:lncRNA from 1 species
AAGGAAAGGAAAGGAAAGGAAAGGAAAGGAAAGGAAAGGAAAGGAAAGGAAAGGAAAGGAAAGGAAAGGAAAGGAAAGGAGAGGAGAAAAAUGGAAAAGGAAGGAAGGAAGGAAGGAAGGAAGGAAGGAUGGAAGGAAGGAAGGAAGGAAGGAAGGAAGGAAGGAAGUGAUGUGUCCUGGUCCAGGGUGAUGCCCCAAUUUUGGGAUUUUGGGGCUCUGCUCCCCACCCUCCUCCUGCCCUGACUCUUCUCCCUGUCCCCCUCCAGGUCGGAGUCACUCCCGAGCCUCUCCUGCUCCGGGUGAUGCCCCAGUUCACCUUCGCCUGCUUCUGUGGCCUCCACGGCUUCUGCAAGAUGAAGAGGAAGAAGGAACAGGCCAGCGGGGGGCAGGAGACGGCCGUGUGAGGAUCAGCCCCCGCCCGGGACCCCCUCCUGUCCCCUCGAUUCUCUCCCGCAUCCCGUGGAUUCUCUCCUCAUUUCCCGUCCCUCCCUGUCCCCAGGAAGCCGGGGAAGAGCCGAAGUGUCCCUGCCCACGAUGUCCCUGCCCGUCCCGCUGCGAGCGAGAAUUCCCCCCCUGCUCCAGCAAUUCCCAGCAGAGAAACCGGGAAAAGCUCCAAAAUCCGGGCCAAGCCUCGUCCUUGCCGGAAUCCAGAGCUGGGCAGCGCCUCUGGCACGGCCAGGUCCGUCCCUGCCUCCUUCCCUCUCCCUGGAACAAUCCUGGACCUUUCCAGAAACUCGGGAUGCGCUCCGGCAAUUCCUCCCGACUUCGGAUCUUCCUCUUCUCCCCUCCAGAAGCAGCCGGACCUGAGCGCUGCUGGAGCAGAUGAAUCCCGCUGAUGGCAGUGGGAAUGAGGCGUCUAUCCAAGGAAAAUUCCAAGGGUUUUCCGUCCUCUGGAGCGGGAGGCGAGCGGUGAAGCCGAAGCCGGAGCCGUGUUCUGGCUGCUCCCGGAUUUC